ACCUGGCUGGCUUAGGUGGUGGAGCACGUGACUCUUGAUCUUCGGGUUGUAGGUUGGAGCCCUACGUUGGGUG
rnacentral:tRNA from 1 species